rnacentral:rRNA from 1 species
CCUACGGGAGGCAGCAGUAGGGAAUAUUGCUCAAUGGGGGAAACCCUGAAGCAGCAACGCCGCGUGGAGGAUGAAGGUCUUCGGAUUUUAAACUCCUUUUGUUAGAGAAGAUAAUGACUCUAUCUAACGAAUAAUCACCGGCCAACUCCGUGCCAGCUGCCGCGGUAAUACGGUGGGUGCAACCGUUAUUCGGAAUCACUGGGCGUUAAGCGCGCGUAGGCGGGAUAGCAAGUCAGAGGUGAAAUCGUAUGGCUUAACCAUAGAACUGCAUUUGAAACUGUUAUUCUAGAGUAUGGGGGGGGUAGGUGGAAUUCUUGGUGUAGGGGUAAAAUCCGUAGAGAUCAAGAGGAAUACUCAUUGCGAAGGCGACCUGCUAGAACAUAACUGACGCUGAUGCGCGAAAGCGUGGGGAGCAAACAGGAUUAGAUACCCUUGUAGUC